AGAUAGCGUAACAGCUCACUGGUCUAAACAAGCCGUCCUGCGCCGAAGAUGUAUCGGGGCUCAAACUAUGUACCGAAGCUGAGGAUUCACACUUAUGUGUGAGUGGUAGCGGAGCGUUCCGUAGGCCUGCGAAGGUGUACCGCGAGGUAUGCUGGAGGUAUCGGAAGUGAGAAUGCUGACAUGAGUAGCGAUAAAGAGUGUGAGAAACACUCUCGCCGAAAGUCCAAGGGUUCCUGCGUAAAGCUAAUCUGCGCAGGGUUAGUCGGCCCCUAAGGCGAGGGCGAAAGCCGUAGUCGAUGGGAAUCAGGUUAAUAUUCCUGAACCUGUGGGUGGUGACGAAUAGCGUAAGUUGUAUCUCCUUAUCGGAUUGGAGGUGCCGCGAAGCUGUUCCAGGAAAUAACCCCCACGUGAGACCGUACCCGAAACCGACACAGGUGGACAGGUAGAGUAUACCAAGGCGCUUGAGAGAACUAUGCUGAAGGAACUCGGCAAAUUACAUCCGUAACUUCGGGAGAAGGAUGCCCACCAUGAAGGCAACUUUUUGGUGGGGGCACAGACCAGGGGGUGGCGACUGUUUACUAAAAACAUAGGGCUCUGCGAAGUCGCAAGACGACGUAUAGGG
rnacentral:rRNA from 1 species